CCUACGGGUGGCAGCAGUGAGGAAUAUUGGUCAAUGGUCGGGAGACUGAACCAGCCAAGCCGCGUGAGGGAUGAAGGUACAGAGUAUCGUAAACCUCUUUUGUCAGGGAACAAAGGCGGGGACGUGUCCCCGGAUGAGUGUACCUGAAGAAAAAGCAUCGGCUAACUCCGUGCCAGCAGCCGCGGUAAUACGGAGGAUGCGAGCGUUAUCCGGAUUUAUUGGGUGUAAAGGGUGCGCCGGCGGGCUGGUAAGUCAGCCGGCAAAGCCCGGGGCUUAACCCCGGGCCCGCCGUUGAAACUGGCAGUCUCGAGUGGGAGAGAAGCAUGCGGAAUGCGCGGUGUAGCGGUGAAAUGCAUAGAUAUCGCGCAGAACUCCGAUUGCGAAGGCAGCAUGCCGGAUCGAAACUGACGCUGAGGCACGAAAGCGUGGGUAGCGAACAGGAUUAGAUACCCCGGUAGUC
rnacentral:rRNA from 1 species